rnacentral:lncRNA from 1 species
ACAGGUGAGGGAGGUCAGGUUCCCUCAGCUCUGCUUCACCUUCACAGAACUGAGGCUCCAACAACAACAUGGAUCCGGUGUCUCCUCAUGGCCCUCUUCUCAAAGCUUGGGACCAGAGACUCUGUGAGGCCCGAGAGGUCACAGGUGACACUCAUCAAUCUCAGGAGGAUGGAAGUGAGAAAAGAGAACCAGAGGCUCAGUGUUUCAUGUGUGUUUUCCUUGCAGCCUCGUGGCCCCACUGACUCAGGCAUCAUCUUUAGGGACUGGAGACAAAUCCAAGUGACAGUCCCCAAGCCAGAUGGAGCCCCCCCCCCCCCCCCCCGGCAGCCACAACCUUGUUCCUGGGCUGAAUUCUUCUACUCCAGUCUCUCCUGUCCCUCAGGGGGAGGCUGGCCCAGGCUGCCCCUCACUCUCACCCAGCACCGGGCAGAGCAGCGUGACUGCCUGGUCCGACAAGCCCCAGCCGUGCUCUCCUUGAAUCGCCACAAGUCGAGGUAGAAUUUAGCGGAAGACCGCUGCAACCCUCCGAGGCAGUCCUCCAUCGCUCCGGCUCCUGACAGCUAAGCUUUGGGUCACCUCACCUGGCAACAAUUCUGCCCCAUUGAGAUGCUUGCUUAAGGCCAGGAGAACUCGGACUGGAUGUUGGAGUUAGCCUCCUAAGAAUGUGGUCCUGGGAUGAAGCUCAUCAGCUGGUGGUUGGAGCAGGCUCACCUGGGACUCGUGUCUGGUUUGUUAAGCAGUGCAAACUCAAGUGUGUUCCAUCUCUCUUCUCCUCCCUGGGUUUGGCUGUCUAAGCUUGGAGCUUGAUGCCCUCAGACCGUGGGAUAGGUCUCCUUCCCUUUCUGUCUACAAUAUAGAGCGCAGCUGCACAACCUCAGUCUGGUGGGGGGAAUGAAGGCAUAUUAGCAUUUCCCCCCACAGUUUCAGGGUUGCUGCGUUGCGUAACUCCCGGGACGACGACUCAGGCUGCAGUCCAGGAGAAUAGUGCCCCCUGGUGCUGUGCAGUCUGCAGGCUCUGCAGCACUGUGCACAACUGCUCUUUGCCUGCUGAUGGUUGCUCUGCAGAUGACUCCUCCUCCUCUGCCUCCCGACUUCCCAGGAAUUUCCAGGAAUGUCCUUCCUUGAACAAAAUAAACCCCUCACUUUCUUCCAUUCUGACUUCUCAGUCCUGGUCUGACCCUUGCAAGGCCAGUUGAGUAUGGAAACUCACCAGCCACUCCUGGCCCCAGGGCACUGUCUCCUGAUUGCAGUAUCUUCUUCAAAAUUCAUGAUACCAGUCCAAGCAUGAGAAAAGUAUCAGAUGAAUACAAAUCGAGAGGCAUUCUACAAAAUAUCAGACCAGAGGAGACUAAGUCGAUGUCACAUUCCAGAGGAGAGUGAGGAGAUACAACAGAUGCAAUGUGGUCUCCAGGAUUGGAUACUGCAACAUAAAAAGGAAAUCAGUGGAAAAACUAGUGAAGGUCAAAUAAAUUCUGUUCUUUUGGUUAAUAGUAAUGUGCCAAUAUUGAUUUCUUAGUUUUGCCCACAAUACCACGGUUACAU